rnacentral:tRNA from 1 species
GCAGUGGUGGUUCAGUGGUAGAAUUCUCAUCUUCCAUGUGGAAGAUCUGGGUUCAAUUCCCAGCCAAUGCA